rnacentral:ncRNA from 2 species
GCGUACACAUCGCCCGCCGGUUAAGGGAACGCGGUUUAAUUCCGCGGCUGCUCCCGCAGCUGUACGCGGCGAGUUCGUUGACCAUUACCACUGGAGCAAUCCGGGAAGGGGUCAGCGCGCAUCGACCCGCAAGCCAGAAGACCUGCCGGCAUGAAAGCCUUUGG